rnacentral:rRNA from 1 species
AGUCUCAGGAAUACGAGCCUAAGGAUUGUUAGUGGGUGCGGCAGUGAAGGAAUCUCGGCUAACUCAGAGCUCCUCAAUACUGCCGUGCUCGGUGCGGAGAGACUAGUGGAGUGCAGAUGUAGCGUGUAAUGCGUAGAUUUCUGCAGGUACACCCGUCGCCGACAGCGGCUGACUGUACAGCAACUGACACUGAGGAACGAAAAGCUAGGGGAGCAAACAGGAUUAGAUACCCUGGUAGUCCUAGCCCUAAACCAUCAGAACUUGGGGUGGCCCGCGUAGGCGGGUCGUCCUGUAGCUAACGCGUUAAGUUCUGCGCUUGGGGAGUACGGUCGCAAGACUGAAACCUCAAAGGAAUUGACGGGGGCCCGCACAAGCGGUGGAACAUGUGGUUCAAUUCGACGCAACGCGAAGAACCUUACCUGGGCUUGAGCCGCUACUGACCAAGGGUAGAAAUAUCCUCUUCCCGCAAGGGACAGUAGUAGAGGUGCUGCAUGGCUGUCGUCAGCUCGUGCCGUGAGGUGUUGGGUUAAGUCCCGCAACGAGCGCAACCCUUACUCGUAGUUGCCACCCGCAAGGGGGAACUCUACGAGGACUGCUCCGGAUAACGGAGAGGAAGGUGGGGAUGACGUCAAGUCAGCACGGCCUUUAUGUCCAGGGCUACACACGUGUUACAAUGCAUGGUACAGACUGUUGCGAACCCGCGAGGGGGAGCUAAUCGGACAAAACCAUGCUCAGUUCGGAUUGCAGUCUGCAACUCGGCUGCAUGAAGCUGGAAUCGCUAGUAAUGGAGAGAUCAGAUCGACGCCGUGAAUACGUUCCCGGGCCUUGUACACACCGCCCGUCACAUCACGAAAGUGAUCUGUACUAGAAGUCGCGCAGCUAACCGCAAGGAUGCACGCGCCCGAAGUAUGGCCCAUGAUUGGGGUGAAGUCGUAACAAGGUAACCAAUGGCGAUCGCAGUCCACAGUAAGCCG